AGAGUUUGAUCAUGGCUCAGGAUGAACGUUGGCGGCGUGCCUAACACAUGCAAGUCGAACGGAAAUAGCAAUAUUUGAGUGGUGCACGGGUGAGUAACACGUAGCUAAUCUACCUCAAAGCGCGGGAUAACGUGUCGAAAGACAGGCUAAUACCGCAUAAGCUCGCGAUCUGUAGAGGGUUGCGAGAAAAGGCGUAAGUCACUUUGAGAUGAGGCUGCGGCCCAUCAGCUAGUUGGGGUGGUAAAAGCACACCAAGGCGACGACGGGUAGGGGACCUGAGAGGGUGACCCCCCACACUGGGGACUGAGACACGGCCCAGACUCCUACGGGAGGCAGCAGUGAGGAAUAUUGCACAAUGGGCGAAAGCCUGAUGCAGCGACGCCGCGUGGGUGAAGAAGGUUUUCGGAUCGUAAAACCCUUUUCUGUGUGACGAGCAAGGACGGUAGCACAGGAAUAAGUCUCGGCUAACUACGUG
rnacentral:rRNA from 1 species